rnacentral:lncRNA from 1 species
AAAUAAACCCUAAUCCUAAAAUUGGAACUUUACAAAAGGGUCAAGCUCAAAUUAUACAAAUAUUUAUGUGUGAGAGUUUGGUGUUGGGGUUAGUAAUUACUUUUUUGCGUUUGCGCAGACAGAUUAGAGAACGAAGGUGAGUUAACAUAAAUGAAUCGAGCAUUUAUUCAAGUGAGAUUCUAACCGGAAACUGGACGGCGGUCAUCGGGAUCUAAUCGGAGAAUAGAUCUGACGCCGCUGGAAAGAAAAUUUUGAGAGAGACUGAGAAUAAUGGAUUUAUUGGGGGAGCUGAGAUUAGCUGAGCUGAGUGGGUGGCGGAAGGAAACGAAAGAGAAGGAGUGUGGAUAUAGAGACAGGGUUUUGAGGGAAAAUGGA